AAAGAGGUCACAACCUGUUCCCAUGACCGAACUACAGAAGUUAAGCUCUUUAGCGCCGAUGGUAGUCGGACUUACGUUCCGCAAGAGUAGGAC
rnacentral:rRNA from 1 species